rnacentral:rRNA from 1 species
UCUAAACUCAUUGAAAUUUUUAUAAAUUAUGAUUGAAUUCAUAACUAUAAAGAGUUAUAGACUCGUUAUAUUGAAAUUUCAAGCAUGGGAAUUAGAAUUAAAGAGUCGGGUAGCUUGAGAAUGCUGCCUUAAUAUAGGUGGUACACCCCAUCUAAAGCUAAAUAUUGUAAAGAGACCGAUAGCAUACAAGUAGUGUGAACGAAAGAUGAAAAGAACUCCUAAACGGAGAAUUAAAAGCGCCUGAACUUGUCUAGGUUUUCGCAUUUCUUUAAUGCGCCCGUCUUGAAACACGGAUUAGGGAGUUUUACUUAAAUACGAGUCUUUAACUUUUAAAGUAAUUUUUUUAAAAAAGGCGAAAAGAAAUUAACUGGUUUUUUAACAUGGCUAUAGAGUAUUUAAGUCAAAACCCGAAUGGAGGUGAACUAUUCCUGCAAAGAUUGAAGUCAGGGGAAACUCUGAUGGAAGAUCGUUGGCGUUAUUGAUGUGCAAAUCAUUUGCUUUAUGUAGGUAUAGGUGCGAAAGACUCAUCGAACCUCCUAAUAGCUGGUUUCCUCCGAAGUUUCCCUCAGGAUAGCUGUAACAUUUUUAAAUAGUUAAGGAUAGUAGAGAAAUGGGUAGAGGUGUAGUGGAACUACGGUUCUGCAACUUAUUUCCAAACUUCGAACGUUCUUGAUAUAAAAAAUUACCUAAUAGGAAUUUUUUAUUUAAAUAUAACGUAUAAAUAAGGUGCCUAAAUUUACUAACAAUGAAACCAUUAAAAGAGUCCAUGUAUUUAGACAGCGGGUCGGUGCCCCUAAAAGCAGGUAUCCGUUAAUGAGUGUGUUAAAACUCCCCCGCCGAAUACUCUGGCCUUGAAAAUGAAUGGCGCAUAUAGUAAUACCGAUAUUAUACAUUAAAAUUAUUUAAAAAUUUUAAAAGUAGGGGGAUGUGGAUAUCUUAGGGAAUUUUUAAUUGUAAAAUUGAAUUGAAAGAUAUCUAUUACAGAUCCUAAUUGAAGUAGCGAUUAUCCAGGUUAAUUUCCUGGGGGCUGAUGAGGAGUAGGGUUUCUGGGCAACUUAAACGGACCCAGAGUUAGUCGAUCCUAAUCAAAUUAAAUUUAGAGAAAGGGAAUAUGAAUGAUAUUUCAUAACUAAAAUUAAUUUUUAAAUGGUGACAUUUUUUUAAACUUAUUUCCAUCAAUUAAAUACUGUUUAAUAGGGAUUUCUUUCCUAUAUAACUUUUUAAUUAAAACUUAAGAAACAGGUUAACUGGAGAAUAAAGUUUUAAUUUAGUAAAAUUAUAAUUUCGAUUAUAAUAACGGCUAUUUAAAUGAUCCAUGAAACGAUAAGUUUAUUUUUUCAAAAAUUAAUUUAAUCGUACCGAUAACCGCAUCAGGUCUCCAAGGUGAGUAGCUUCUGGCCAUUGAGUAAUGGUAAUUUAGGGAAUUCGGCCAAUUAGAGCUGUAACUUCGGGAUAAAGCUUGGCUCUGAUGGAAAUCAGAACCGAUAGUUACAAGGAGAGCCCAACUGUUUAAUAAAAACUUAGUGUCGCGUCAUACCUUUAUAAGUAAUAAACGUGACAUGAAUCCUGCUCAGUGCUGUGUUUGUUAAACUGGAUUAAUCCAUUUAAGCGCCGGUAAAUAGCUGGGGUAACUAUGACUCUUAUCAAAGUAGCGAAAUACCUCGUCACUUAAUUAGUGACCUGCAUGAACGGAGCUAUGAGGUUCUCACUGUCCCAAAUUAUCACUCAGCGAACCAACAGUUGUGGGAACGGGCACAAAUUAUCCAGCGGGGAAAGAAGACCCUGUAGAGCUUCACUUUGGUCUAAUCUUGUAUAGUUUCGUUAGGGGUGCAGUCUAGGUGGGAGAUUUUUAAUCAAAUAUGAGAAACCACUACCCUUUCUGGAAUUAUACUUACUAAAAUUCUUUUAUAAAUUUUAGGAUCGGAUUAGAUAGAAAGUUUGGCUGGGGCGGCACACCUUCGAAAAAGCAGCGAAGGUGUCCUAAGUUAAGCUCAGUAAGGACAGAAAUCUUACGUUGAGGAUAAGGCCAAAAGCUUAAUUUACUGUGCCUUUUUGUACUAGGAUCAGUUUGGAAACAAAGGCCUAACGAUCCCUAAUUAGUCUUAGGUGUGUAAGACUUGGGGUGACAGACAAGUUACCUCCGGGACAACUGGCUUGUGGCUGCUAAGAGAUCAAAUCAACGCAGCUUUUUGAUUCUUCGAUGUCGGCUCUUCCUAUCCUAGUGAUGUACAAGUCACUAAGGGUUGGAUUGUUCACCCGUAUUAGGGAUCGUGAGCUGGGUUUAGACCGUCGUGAGCCAGGUUUGUUUUAUCCUACUGGAUAUAAUUUAGCAUCUUGAUAGUAGUUUGAUUUAGUACGAGAGGAACUGUUGAAUAUGGUCUCUGGUUUGGGAAUUUUAUGAAAAUAAAAGUUCCAAAGCUACGCCGUCUGAGAUAAUGGCUGAAGGCCUCUUAAGCCAGAAACUCAUCUAAAAAUAGAUGCUUUAAACUAUUUAAAAGAAUUAAAUUUAAAAUA